GACGAGCGCUGGCGGCGUGCCUAAUACAUGCAAGUAGAACGCACAGUUUAUACCGUAGCUUGCUACACCAUAGACUGUGAGUUGCGAACGGGUGAGUAACGCGUAGGUAACCUGCCUGGUAGCGGGGGAUAACUAUUGGAAACGAUAGCUAAUACCGCAUAAUAUUGAUUAUUGCAUGAUAAUUAAUUGAAAGGUGCAAUUGCACCACUACCAGAUGGACCUGCGUUGUAUUAGCUAGUAGGUGAGGUAACGGCUCACCUAGGCGACGAUACAUAGCCGACCUGAGAGGGUGAUCGGCCACACUGGGACUGAGACACGGCCCAGACUCCUACGGGAGGCAGCAGUAGGGAAUCUUCGGCAAUGGACGAAAGUCUGACCGAGCAACGCCGCGUGAGUGAAGAAGGUUUUCGGAUCGUAAAGCUCUGUUGUAAGAGAAGAACGGGUGUGAGAGUGGAAAGUUCACACUGUGACGGUAUCUUACCAGAAAGAGACGGCUAACUACGUG
rnacentral:rRNA from 1 species